UACAGAGGGGGCAAGCGUUGUUCGGAAUUACUGGGCGUAAAGCGCGCGUAGGUGGCCUCAUAAGUCCGCUGUGAAAGUCAAAGGCUCAACCUUUGAAAGCCGGUGGAUACUGUGAGGCUAGAGUACGGAAGAGGCGAGUGGAAUUCCUGGUGUAGCGGUGGAAUGCGCAGAUAUCAGGAGGAACACCAAUAGCGAAGGCAGCUCGCUGGGACGUUACUGACACUGAGGCGCGAAAGCGUGGGGAGCGAACAGG
rnacentral:rRNA from 1 species